rnacentral:rRNA from 1 species
UUCCAGCUCCAAUAGCGUAUAUUAAAGCUGUUGCAGUUAAAAAGCUCGUAGUCGGAUUUCGGGCGGCGGCCAGUGGUUCGGCUCCGUGCUGAUACUGCUGGUCGCGGCCUCCACGCCGGUCGUCUUUCGGUGCUCUUAGCUGAGUGCCUUAAGUAGCCGGAGCGUUUACUUUGAAAAAAUUAGAGUGUUCAAGGCAGGCCACAAGCCUGAAUGAUGGUGCAUGGAAUAAUGGAAUAGGACCUCGGUUCUAUUUUGUUGGUCUUCGGAACUGGAGGUAAUGAUUAAUAGGGACGGACGGGGGCAUUCGUAUUGCGGCGUUAGAGGUGAAAUUCUUGGAUCGUCGCAAGACGGACUACUGCGAAAGCAUUUGCCAAGAAUGUUUUCAUUGAUCAAGAGCGAAAGUCAGAGGAUCGAAGACGAUCAGAUACCGUCCUAGUUCUGACCAUAAACGAUGCCGACUAGCGAUCCGGCUCCGUUGCUUCUUAAGACUGGCCGGGCAGCUCCCGGGAAA